rnacentral:rRNA from 1 species
GACGAACGCUGGCGGCGUGCCUAAUACAUGCAAGUCGAACGCAGUGGGGACGGGUGAGUAACACGUGGGUAACCUCCCAUCAGAGGGGAUAACACUUGGAAACCGUUGCUAAACCUAUACUGAUGGAUGGACCCGCGGUGCAUUGGCUAGUUGGUGAGGUAACGGCUCACCAAGGCCGCGAUGCAUAGCCGACCUGAGAGGGGGAUCGGCCGCACUGGGACGGAGACACGGACCAGACGCCUACGGGAGGCAGCAGUAGGGAAUGUUAGGCAAUGGACGAAAGUCUGACCGAGCGACGCCGCGUGAGAGAAGAAGGUGUUCGGAGCGUAAAACUCUGUUGUUAGAGAAGCGGUAUCUAACCAGAAAGCCACGGCUAACUACGUGCCAGCAGCCGCGGUAAUUC